UGGGGAAUUUUGGACAAUGGGCGAAAGCCUGAUCCAGCCAUGCCGCGUGCAGGAUGAAGGCCUUCGGGUUGUAAACUGCUUUUGUACGGAACGAAAAGACUCUGGUUAAUACCUGGGGUCCAUGACGGUACCGUAAGAAUAAGCACCGGCUAACUACGUGCCAGCAGCCGCGGUAAUACGUAGGGUGCAAGCGUUAAUCGGAAUUACUGGGCGUAAAGCGUGCGCAGGCGGUUAUAUAAGACAGAUGUGAAAUCCCCGGGCUCAACCUGGGAACUGCAUUUGUGACUGUAUAGCUAGAGUACGGCAGAGGGGGAUGGAAUUCCGCGUGUAGCAGUGAAAUGCGUAGAUAUGCGGAGGAACACCGAUGGCGAAGGCAAUCCCCUGGGCCUGUACUGACGCUCAUGCACGAAAGCGUGGGGAGCAAACAGGAUUAGAUACCCUGGUAGUCCACGCCCUAAACGAUGUCAACUGGUUGUUGGGUCUUCACUGACUCAGUAACGAAGCUAACGCGUGAAGUUGACCGCAUGGGGAGUACGGCCGCAAGGUUG
rnacentral:rRNA from 1 species